UUCCAGCUAACGCCAUUUUAUCUAAAUAUAGUAACCAACCGGAAGGCAGCAGGCAUCCAUGUUAUCACGUUUGUGAAAGAAGACCGUAGCUUAGGGUAGAGGUCUGAAAUUAAAAUUAACAGUUUACAAGAGUGAAAUAUCAACAAAAAGAUUAUCCAUAUUAAGGUGCUGUACUGGAGGGAUAAGGAAAGAAAAGAAAGUGACGUUUAUGAUUUGACUGAAAGGGAGAUUAACACAGACAUAAAAGAG